rfam:Erythranthe guttata cultivar DTN x IM62 scaffold_83_contig_15, whole genome shotgun sequence.
CCUAUGACGAUUAUUUAAUUAUAAAUAUGGAAUUACCGUCUGAAAUAAUCAUUGAUGUGACCAAUUUUCUGAGG